AAAAAAAAAAAGAUGAAGAUCAUUUCAAUAUUCGUGGAGCAUUACUGUCUACAGUUUGGCUAAGACGCCCUCACACAUGUUAUAUACCAUCAAAUCAUUUUAGUCAGUUUACCAUGUAAUUGCAGCUAAAGAUGCCUGACUUUCUUCAUGUAAAACUUUUUUCUCCUUUUUUGCUUGUUUAUUUAUUUAUUUUGAUAGCAUUCAUAAAUUGGUGAUGCAUAGAUUUUAAGAACAUUCAUGUUUAACUGCUAAUUACUAACAUAAGAAAUAUCAAAAUUUAUCAUGAAGAAGAAGCAUAGAAAAUGAUACUUGAAAGACUGAAAUCAAGACCCAGAAUCUUGAGAUAUGUAAUGCAUCUUUAUCGCAAAGUACUAGCAUCUCACUCCGACCAAAAAAUUUACCUCAAGGGCAAGUCAUGGAACCCACAGACAAAUCAUUUCCAACCCAAAACACCUACCCCACAAAUAUGCAACUUUGAAAGAAAAGGAAGCAGGAAAAAAAGGACACAAUUGCCAAAUGUUCUAACUUGCAAAAUGGGUAAAAACAUAUUUUAAGGUGAUAUCAAAGCAACAUUAAAG
rnacentral:misc_RNA from 1 species